rnacentral:rRNA from 1 species
UACGGAGGGUGCAAGCGUUGUUCGGAAUCACUGGGCGUAAAGGGCGUGUAGGCGGCCUGUUAAGUCCGAUGUGAAAUCCCCUCGCUCAACGAGGGAACUGCGUCGGAAACUGGCAGGCUAGAGUACCGGAGAGGAAGGUGGAAUUCCCGGUGUAGCGGUGAAAUGCGUAGAUAUUGGGAAGAACACCGGUGGCGAAGGCGGCGACCUGGUCCUUUUACUGACGCUGAGGCGCGAAAGCGUGGGGAGCAAACAGG